rnacentral:rRNA from 1 species
CAGGAUUCCCCUAGUAACUGCGAGUGAAGCGGGAAAAGCUCAAAUUUAAAAUCUGGUGGUCUUUGGCCAUCCGAGUUGUAAUUUAGAGAAGCGUCUUCCGCGCUGGACCAUGCAUAAGUCUCCUGGAAUGGAGCGUCAUAGAGGGUGAGAAUCCCGUCUUUGGCAUGGACCCCCAGGGCUUCUGUGAUGCGCUCUCAAAGAGUCGAGUUGUUUGGGAAUGCAGCUCAAAAUGGGUGGUGAACUCCAUCUAAAGCUAAAUAUUGGCGAGAGACCGAUAGCGAACAAGUACCGUGAGGGAAAGAUGAAAAGCACUUUGGAAAGAGAGUGAAACAGUACGUGAAAUUGUUGAAAGGGAAACGCUUGAAGUCAGUCGCGUCGACCGAGACUCAGCCUUGCCUUGGCUUGGUGUACUUCUCGGCUGACGGGUCAGCAUCAAUUUCGAUCCUUGGAUAAUGGCAAGGGAAAGGUAGCACCUUUACAGGUGUGUUAUAGUCCUCUGUC